AAGGGUAUUUGCAGAUGUGAUGAAAGAUCUUGUGAUGAGGAGAUUAUCCUGUAUUACCCAGGUGGCCCCAAAUCCAAGCAUCCUUAUAAGAGAGAGACAGAGGGAGAUUUGAGAGACAGAAGAGGAGGAGGUGAUCUGAUUACAGAGGCGGAGACGGGUAAUGCCCAUGCGCCCGAGUUCCCCCGGCAGCCACUGGAAGCUGGAGAGUGCGGGAAAUCACCUCCCCAAUGAGGGGUUCCCAAGCCUCCAAAGGCAGAAGGAAGUGUGCAGGACCUGUUUCGAGGACCUCACCCAGCACAAAAAGAGAAGAACUGGAAACACCUUUCAUCUUGCAAGUCUACAGCCCUCACCCAGGGGAGCAGGAUGGAUUCUUAGAUCAGAGGAUGUGCCCUCUAGGGAAGGGAACCUGAGACAUAUGACAAGAGGAGCUAUCCUGGGACAGCCCUGACCUCACCCUUGCCUUGGGCUGGCCCACAAGUCUUGCACACACCACACCAGACCAGGAAGUGCACACACGGCCUGCUUUGAGGAAAGGCAGAUCCCGAGUCCGGGGAGGUCGUCUGUGCUGGGGAAACCGGGCUGAGGAUGCUGCUUGCCCAUCGCCACUGAAGGCACCCAGUUCACACAGCCCUAUCUGGUGUUGGGGCCCGACUCACUGACUAUGACUCAUUGACAGCCUGAACUGUGGGCCAACUGACAAGCAGGGCUCACUCCGCAAACACGCGCUGGGCUCUCCAGCUGUGCCGCCCCCCACAGGGCCUGCAGCCCGGGACAACACCGGCCAUGUGAAUGGUGGGUACCCAUUGGAUAUGGGCGGGUCAGCACAGGUAUGUGGGGUGCAGCC
rnacentral:lncRNA from 10 species